GACGGAGGGGGCAAGCGUUGUUCGGAAUUACUGGGCGUAAAGAGCGUGUAGGCGGUCUGAUAAGUCGAGUGUGAAAGCCCGAGGCUCAACUUCGGAAGUGCACUCGAAACUGCCAGGCUUGAGUACGGGAGAGGGAAGUGGAAUUCCUGGUGUAGAGGUGAAAUUCGUAGAUAUCAGGAGGAACACCGGUGGCGAAGGCGGCUUCCUGGACCGAUACUGACGCUGAGAAGCGAAAGCGUGGGGAGCAAACAGG
rnacentral:rRNA from 1 species